AAUCUCAGGUCCACCUCCUUUUAUGGUUUUCUCCACUCCUUAUAGCUGGAUCUGCCCAUGGCUCUACCUACAGAGUCGAGCCUGCCCCAAGUCCUGAGCCAAUCUCAAUAGGCAAAGGCAGGGCCCUUUGGCCCUUCAUCUUUUUAUCCUCUCAUUUAUCACAAACAUGGUGACAGGCAUUGUUCAAGGCACAAGGGAUGCAAGAAGAUAGACUAGCAGGCAAGUCCCUCCCGGGAAGUAGUCACCGCCUAGGGCUGGAAAUGGACACGUAAAUAACCCUAAUCUUCAAUUUGUUCUUCUAGGUCCUGCCCUGCCCUGCCCUAGAGUUAGUCUCUGCCUGACUCUGGCUUGCUCAACAAAUCCUGCCCUGUGCACCCUCCACUCCAGCCCUAUGCGACCAGAAAGUGAAGCGCCUCGUGCCUGGCUUCCGAGUUAUGGGACCGUCUCACACACAGCAAAGUGGAGGAGGAAGGGCAGAAGGAUGACGGAGGGUUAAAGAUGAGUAAACCAGAUUUACCUGGGGCCAGAACCCAAUCGCCCGAUGGCCACACCAAGAAGGAUGACCGUCUCCCGCAUCAUUAAGGGGGUAAGCUGUGAAUCUGGAAUAACAGCCCUUGGCCGGGCUCUGAGAUAACACUGUAAGUAUAAUACAAAUUCAUUCAACGAACUCAUUGAACAUCUACUGUGUGCCAGGCACUGUGGUAGAAAAUGGGAGUAAACCAUGAGUAAGACAUAGUCUCUGCCCUCAGAGGUCCCGCAGAGCAGUGAGGGGAACAGACAAGAAAAGACACCGACACCUUGACACCUAUGCCUAUAACAAUGAGUGCUCCCUCAGUACCAGGUACGUGCCUGAAGGUGUCCACUUAUUAUUUCACAUAUUAUUUCAAUUGACCUGGGGAGGCGGGUAAUAUUAUUCUCAUUUAAUAGAUAAAAGAGGUGAGGCUAAGAGAAUUUUACUUGCCCAAGAUCACACAGCUCGGCUGGUGGCAGAAUAAAGAUGUGGACUUGGCCUUGCCUGGCUCCAGCUGUGAUCUGGCUAUCCCCCUCAUGGUUUGUUAGAAACAUGUCUUGGUUCUUCUUCCCUGCCUUGCCCCUGCUGCAGAAACUCUUGGUCUGCCCGCUGUUACAACAUGGUUCCCCAGGAUGCAAUCUACCUCCUUCGAACAGGGAGAGCAGAGGCUUUGGCUUGUCACAAGAGCUACAUGUGCUUUAGUGUUUUCAGGGCCCCUGCCCUCAAGGAGAGUACAGUCUAGGAGAAGAGAUGUGAUGCAUACAAAUAUCCAGGUUAUAAGAAUGACGAAUCUAUGAGCUGUUUUAUAUUUUUAAGACAGUCUCAGCCUGACAACAGACAGUUGUCUUCUCUGACAACACUUUUGCAAUCUCCAUAAUGGAUUCCCUACGUUGCAUUAUAUUUAUAUUCUACACUUGUAGUUGUGAAGCCCUUCAAAGCUCUGACUUUGAGAUGAUCUCACAUCUUGUAUAUUUCUCAAAUCUAGCAUCCUUAUUCCUGGGGCAGAUAUCACUGCCCUCUUAUUUCUUGCCUAGGUUCUCACCACAGCCUUUUUACAGCUCCCUCCCUCAAAUCUCUCCAUUCUUCACAUUGUAGUCAGAGUGAUCUUGAACUGCCAAUUUUGGGUGGAUCCCUUGCUUAAAACCCUCGAUGGCACACCACAACCCCCAGGAUGAAUCCAAGCUUCUAAGCCUGGUAUUCCAGACUCUCCCAUUAUGUCUUGCACAUUCUGUGCUUUAGCAACAUUCUAUGCCCCGGCAAGAGGGGGCUGUUUACAAUCUCCUUCUACGCACUCUGCUGUUCCCCAGCUCUGGGCCCAUGUCCUUCUGUCCUUCUUAAAAACAUGCUUUCUCCCCACCUUUGCCUGAACAACUUCUACUCAUUCAUCAAGACUGAACCGGGACAGAGAUGACAUAGGAAACCUUCUUGGACCCGCAUCUGCCAUAUCGUAUGACAACUGUCUCCUCAUGUGCCGGUUUUCACCACUAGACUGAGUCUCAUGAAGACAACUGAGGGUGUCUUCUUCAUCUUUGUACCUCCAACACCUACCACGGUUUCAGGAACAUAAUAGUCAUUCAGUGAGUACUUGUUUAAAUAAAAUGAAUGAGUGAAUGAUUAUAAAGUUCUACGACACAUUAAGUGCCAAAUGAGUAGUACAGAAAAUAAGCAUAAGAGAAAGGAGGAAAUGGUCACUUCCAGUUGGGAGAGUCCCAGAAAGCUUCACAGAUAAGAAGAAUUUCUGCUGGACCUUGCAGGAUGAGAUAACACGUGUGUAGGUGCUGGCCCAAUGCCGACCUGCCGUUGGCGUUGAAUAAGGGUGAAAUGAAUCUGAUUUGGCUAGGUCGAAAGAGGUGGGGAAGACAUCCCAUGGGGGCAGGUGGUGGGGGCAAAGGUUUCUAGUUGCAAA